CUCCUCCAGGGCCUGGAGGACCUCCUUCACCUCGUCUUUAGCCGCCUCGUUUUCAAUCUGGAGGCGGGUCAGCUCCUCCUGGAUUUUCUCGUAGUCCCUUCUGGUGGAAGCUAGAAGCUGGGGAAAUGAGGAGGCCAGGGAAAAAUGUUGCCGUUUGAACAGUGACAAAAGGAAUUGAUCCGAGGCAGCUGAACCACUCUGAGAGAUGCAAAGAACAGUGUGGAAGCCACAACAGACAACAUAAGCAGUGCCUCAAGCACAGCUGAGAGAGGAACCUAUUCCAUAGGGUUCCCAUGACUCCAAAGGCACAGACUGCCUCCCCGCAGAAUCACAGUCAUUACG